CCUACGGGAGGCAGCAGUGGGGAAUAUUGGGCAAUGGACGCAAGUCUGACCCAGCAACGCCGCGUGAAGGAAGAAGGCUUUCGGGUUGUAAACUUCUUUUAAGGGGGAAGAGCAGAAGACGGUACCCCUUGAAUAAGCCACGGCUAACUACGUGCCAGCAGCCGCGGUAAUACGUAGGUGGCAAGCGUUGUCCGGAUUUACUGGGUGUAAAGGGUGCGUAGGCGGCUUGGCAAGUCAGUAGUGAAAUCCAUGGGCUUAACCCAUGAACUGCUAUUGAAACUGUCGAGCUUGAGUGAAGUAGAGGUAGGCGGAAUUCCCGGUGUAGCGGUGAAAUGCGUAGAGAUCGGGAGGAACACCAGUGGCGAAGGCGGCCUACUGGGCUUUAACUGACGCUGAGGCACGAAAGCGUGGGUAGCAAACAGGAUUAGAUACCCCUGUAGUC
rnacentral:rRNA from 1 species